UGAGGGUAAUGCCAGGAAUCAAGAUGGCGCCCUGAGUCCGCGCUCAGCCGCUUCGAUCUCUACCUGAAAAACCGCAUCCCGUCUGCUACACCCAACCGUCUUAGGCAUCCUGAAGCUGAGCGAGACUGUUCAAGCCCAGUCAGCCUAAGACCACCAGAGACAAACCUGUAGUCAACAAAACCAGGCCUAUCGACCUUUUUUAACGAGGGUGAUUGCACACCAGAGACACCAUGGGGGCAUUUUACCAAAGAAAGGAAAAGAUAAAAGUUACAGGAGUUUGAGGAAUUGUAAAGUUUAGAUGGAACUUAAAUAAAACAGUUUUAAUAGCCUCAAAGCAAAGCAGGACUGUGAAAAAGGGUCAACAUCAGGCCUAGCCUGCAGAGUGGACCCAUGGUCCUGUUUCUUUGAAAACCUCUUCUCUGCACCUUUGCAACUGGCUUGUAAAUUGAAGCUAUGUCUCUGUGUUAAAGUGACUUAGACCCUCCAAGCAAGGUUUUUUAUUCUUACUGACAAAAUUUCAAACAGCAAGUUUCUGAGGGUCUUUGAUUUUAGAGAACAGUGUUUCUCAGUGAGAAAGUGAGAAAGCCGCAGUCACUCAAACAGGGUUAUUAUGACACUCUAGAUUAAGCAUGUCCUUGGCAGCAAUAGUUUCUUGUUAACUUUGCAGUUAUCUUUAUUUGUAUUUGUUUUUCCUGCCUGACGAAUAACCAGGCAGAUUUUUCUUCUCAAACUGAACUUGUAUUUACUCAGGAAUGCUGAUGGUAUAGCAAGAAGGUAUUCUGAGCAUUGUAUCAAUGGGGAAGUUCUAGAGCUUUCCUUUUGCAAAGCAGGAGGUAAACUCACAAACCAUAGGCAAUGACACACUCUGGAAUAAGAAAUAA